UGGGUUAGUGUGUUGGGGCGGAGAGCAGGUCGCGCAUCUCCCUGAACAACCAAGGCACAUCCAGCACUAACAAGGGCUGGAAGAAGGAUUUUUAUGGGCUUUGCUUUUGGAGGUUUUAUCUCCACUCCCUUCCAAGGCUUCCCAGGACCUCAAAGAAUAAAGCAGCAUCUUGAAGACAGUGGUGGGUUACCUCCGGUUUGCACUGGUUCUAUAGAACCGGUAGUAAAACUGGCGAGAGGCUCCGCCCACUGACCCUGACGUCAUAAAAGCGCUUCUGCGCAUGCUUGUCCCUGUUGCGAACCGGUAGUAAAGCUAGUAAGUCCUACUGCCUGAAAAAGUUUGAAAUUUCUCUAGAAGAUGAAACAUGUCCCACUUUUCAAAUCAAGAUUCACAUCUGUCUUCUGAAUUAUUUGCUGGGAAUAUUUCAAAAGUAGGUGAGGGAAAGAAAAGAAAUGGAUGGGAAUGAGAUGAAAACAUUAGAAGUCAAUUGAAUAUAUCAGGUAUCUAAUCAUU